UGUAAGCGUAUACCAAAGUUGUUGCAGUUAAAACGCUCGUAGUCGGAAUUUGGCAGUUCCGGAUGUGUGCACGUCGUGUGCGCACUUCGCGGGGAUUGCUUUUGUGGUCUUGCGUAGGAUGAGGCACUUCUAUUAGUGAACGUCCUCACGCAACCACUUUUUACUGUGAGAAAAUCAGAGUGCUCAAAGCAGGCAUUUGCCGUGAAUGUAUUAGCAUGGAAUAAUAGAAUAGGACUUGGUUCUAUUUUGUUGGUUUGUUGGGACUGAGUAAUGAUUAAGAGGGACAGUUGGGGGCAUUUGUAUUUCGGUGCUAGAGGUGAAAUUCUUAGAUUACCGAAAGACAAACUGCUGCGAAAGCGUCUGCCAAGGAUGUUUUCAUUGA
rnacentral:rRNA from 1 species